rnacentral:rRNA from 1 species
GAGUUUGAUCCUGGCUCAGAACGAACGCUGGCGGCGUGCCUAACACAUGCAAGUCGAACGUGAUCCAGAGCUUGCUCUGGUGAAAGUGGCGCACGGGUGAGUAACGCGUGGAUAACCUACCCUGGUAUCCGGGAUAACAUUCCGAAAGGGGCGCUAAUACCGGAUAAGCCCACGGGCUCUUUGGAGCUUGCGGGAAAAGGUGGCCUCUAUUUAUAAGCUACUGUAUCAGGAUGGGUCCGCGUACCAUUAGCUAGUUGGCGGUGUAACGGACCACCAAGGCGACGAUGGUCAGCUGGUCUGAGAGGAUGAUCAGCCACACUGGAACUGAGACACGGUCCAGACUCCUACGGGAGGCAGCAGUGGGGAAUUUUGCGCAAUGGGGGAAACCCUGACGCAGCAACGCCGCGUGAGUGAUGAAGGCCUUUGGGUCGUAAAGCUCUGUCAGAGGGGAAGAAAUGAUAUAGUGCUAAUACCACUUUAUCUUGACGGUACCCUCAAAGGAAGCACCGGCUAACUCCGUGCCAGCAGCCGCGGUAAUAC